rnacentral:rRNA from 1 species
AAACCAGCACCUCAAGUGGUCAGGAUGAUUAUGGGGCCUAAAGCAUCCGUAGCCGGCUCAGUAAGUUUUCGGUUAAAUCUGUACGCUCAACGUACAGGCUGCCGGGAAUACUGCAGAGCUAGGGAGUGGGAGAGGUAGACGGUACUCGGGAGGAAGUGGUAAAAUGCUUUGAUCUUUCGAUGACCACCUGUGGCGAAGGCGGUCUACCAGAACACGUCCGACGGUGAGGGAUGAAAGCUGGGGGAGCAAACCGGAUUAGAAACCCGUGUAGUCC